rnacentral:rRNA from 1 species
AUUGAACGCUGGCGGCAUGCCUUACACAUGCAAGUCGAACGGCAGCACGGGUGCUUGCGCCUGGUGGCGAGUGGCGAACGGGUGAGUAAUACAUCGGAACGUACCUUAUCGUGGGGGAUAACGCAGCGAAAGCUGUGCUAAUACCGCAUACGCCCUGAGGGGGAAAGCGGGGGAUCGCAAGACCUCGCGCGAUUAGAGCGGCCGAUGCCUGAUUAGCUUGUUGGUGGGGUAAAAGCCCACCAAGGCGACGAUCAGUAGCUGGUCUGAGAGGACGAUCAGCCACACUGGGACUGAGACACGGCCCAGAAUCCUACGGGGUGCAGCAGUGGGGAAUUUUGGACAAUGGGGGCAACCCUGAUCCAGCAAUGCCGCGUGAGUGAAGAAGGCCUUCGGGUUGUAAAGCUCUUUUGUCAGGGAAGAAACACCGGCUCUAACACAGUCUGGGAAUGACGGUACCUGAAGAAUAAGCACCGGCUAACUACGUGCCAGCAGCCGCCGUAA